GACGUAGGGCGCGAGCGUUGUCCGGAUUUAUUGGGCGUAAAGAGCUCGUAGGCGGCUUGUCGCGUCGACUGUGAAAUCCCGCGGCUCAACUGCGGGUCUGCAGUCGAUACGGGCAGGCUAGAGUUCGGUAGGGGAGACUGGAAUUCCUGGUGUAGCGGUGAAAUGCGCAGAUAUCAGGAGGAACACCGAUGGCGAAGGCAGGUCUCUGGGCCACUACUGACGCUGAGAAGCGAAAGCAUGGGGGAGCGAACAGG
rnacentral:rRNA from 1 species